GAUGAACGCUGGCGGCGUGCUUAACACAUGCAAGUCGAACGGGAAAUAUUUCAUUGAGACUUCGGUGGAUUUGAUUUAUUCCUAGUGGCGGACGGGUGAGUAACGCGUGGGUAACCUGCCUUAUACAGGGGGAUAACAGUCAGAAAUGGCUGCUAAUACCGCAUAAGCGCACAGAGCUGCAUGGCUCAGUGUGAAAAACUCCGGUGGUAUAAGAUGGACCCGCGUUGGAUUAGCUAGUUGGUGGGGUAACGGCCCACCAAGGCGACGAUCCAUAGCCGGCCUGAGAGGGUGAACGGCCACAUUGGGACUGAGACACGGCCCAGACUCCUACGGGAGGCAGCAGUGGGGAAUAUUGCACAAUGGGGGAAACCCUGAUGCAGCGACGCCGCGUGAAGGAAGAAGUAUCUCGGUAUGUAAACUUCUAUCAGCAGGGAAGAUAGUGACGGUACCUGACGAAGAAGCCCCGGCUAACUACGUG
rnacentral:rRNA from 1 species